GACGAACGCUGGCGGCGUGCUUAACACAUGCAAGUCGUGGGCACCAGCAAUGGUGACCGGCGAACGGGUGCGUAACACGUGAGCGACCUACCGAUUUGUGGGGGAUAGCCGGCCCAACGGCCGGGUAAUACCGCAUACGCCGAGCUUGCCGCAUGGCUUGCUCGGGAAACCUCCGGGGCAAAUCGAGGGGCUCGCGGCCUAUCAGCUAGUUGGCGAGGUAAUGGCUCACCAAGGCGACGACGGGUAGCUGGUCUGAGAGGAUGGCCAGCCACAUUGGGACUGAGAAACGGCCCAGACUCCUACGGGAGGCAGCAGUGGGGGAUCUUGCGCAAUGGCCGAAAGGCUGACGCAGCGACGCCGCGUGUGGGAUGAAGCUCGUUC
rnacentral:rRNA from 1 species